rnacentral:rRNA from 1 species
UACGAAGGGGGCUAGCGUUGUUCGGAAUCACUGGGCGUAAAGGGCGCGUAGGCGGCUUUGUAAGUCGGGGGUGAAAGCCGUGGUGGCUCAACCACAGAAUUGCCUUCGAUACUGCAUGGCUUGAGACCGGAAGAGGUUAGUGGAACUGCGAGUGUAGAGGUGAAAUUCGUAGAGUAUUACGCAAGAACACCAGUGGCGGAAGGCGGCUGACUGGUCCGGUUCUGACGCUGAGGCGCGAAAGCGUGGGGAGCAAACAGG